rnacentral:rRNA from 1 species
UACGUAGGGGGCAAGCGUUAUCCGGAUUUACUGGGUGUAAAGGGCGCGUAGGCGGGAUUGCAAGUCAGAUGUGAAAUCUCCGGGCUUAACCCGGAAACUGCAUUUGAAACUGUAAUUCUUGAGUAUCGGAGAGGCAAGCGGAAUUCCUAGUGUAGCGGUGAAAUGCGUAGAUAUUAGGAGGAACACCAGUAGCGAAGGCGGCUUGCUGGACGACAACUGACGCUGAGGCGCGAAAGCGUGGGGAGCAAAC